GUAGAGUCAGUAGUAGUAGUAGUCGUCAGUAGUAGUGACAGUAGUAGUAGUACUGGUAGUCAGUAGUAGUGACACUUAAUAAUAUAAAUAUCUGCUCUCCUGGUCAGAACCCUGGAAGUGGAUCCUUGUCUCCUGCGGAUUGUCUCUGCUCCUCGUUCCUCUGCUCGUGUGUCUGGUCCGUCACAGGUGUCGGAGGCGUCUGCCGUCCUCCAGACAGAAGCUGCAGGGGGCGGAGCUACCCGCCACUAAGCCGGACGCGAGCGAGGUGCAGUGGGACCUGUCCUGGAUGGAGAUGUCCGACCUGCUGGAUGAACACUCUCUCUCUGGAACCCAAAGGUCUCAAAGUUGACGUCCUGUCCUCUCCGAUGAAUCACAUCUUGGAUUGUUCCAAAUGAAGAAACAAAAUAAACUUGAAUCAGCUUGUAAAGUCAUCGUCACAAAGCUUUUUAUUCAUACAGGAUAGAAACAUAUGAGGACAUUUUAGAAUAUGAUGCUAUUAUUACAUUAAACAGAUGUAACAAGAAAACACAGACAAGCAAUACUUUUAAUUAUUGUUACUUCAAUGAUGUCAUCGGUGCCACCGGGUCAGAUUCUGGUGAAACCAGUUGACGUCAUGCAGGUUCACCAGAACCUCCUUCAGCUCAGACUCCUGAAGAGACCAGUCCAGCGUGGACAGACCCAGAUCCUCCUGCAGAGACCAGUCCAGCGUGGACAGACCCAGAUCCUCCUGCCCAGAAACCCCGCCCCUCUACCUGAGAAUGCAGUUGGAUUGGCUGUUGUCAGUGUCAGGACUGACCAAUUGAACACGAACAAAACAAAGACAUAUUGAACUGCUGCUUGACUGUUAAAUAAAGUGCUGAAUCAUGUACAUGUCA